UAACAGAGAUAUUGAUAUCUUAAGCUGUC
rnacentral:piRNA from 1 species